GAAAUCACCUCCUGUCACCACGAGGAUGGGGCCACAGUUUGAUUACAGGAAUAUACAAACAGCACAUGCAAGUCAUGUGACCCACCGCCAUGCUGCAGUUUAUUCCCUCACUGAGACAAUUGAGAGCUGUUACACUCCAGCAAGAUCACUCAAACGCUGCUCAGUGGGAGUGGUGGCGCAAACGAAGACCCCAUGAAGGUUUGGCCUGGUUGGAGGAGGACGGGCUCUCUCUGAGAACACUUCCUGUCAGUGGACUUAGACGGCCACAGCCACAAAUUACAGUUUCAGGUACGAUGGAGCUGUCGGGACUUUAGAGUCGGGACAUCGGGAGCCGGAGAGACAGCGAGAGAAAGACUGCUGACCUGCCGCAGUCGCUGCAGAGACCCGUGAGGAAGAUGGAGAGGAGGAGGAGGAGGAUGAAGAAG